AGAGUUUGAUCCUGGCUCAGAAUGAACGCUGGCGGCGUGGAUAAGACAUGCAAGUCGAACGAGAAAACUGAUUAGUUUACUAAGAUGUUUUCUAGUGGCGGACGGGUUAGUAACACGUGAGCAACCUGCCUCGAAGCGGGGGAUAGCCUUCCGAAAGGGAGAUUAAUACCGCAUGUGGCCCCCUUUUAUUAGGGUGGUUAAAGGUGCCUUCGGGUAUCGCUUCGAGAUGGGCUCGCGGCCUAUCAGCUUGUUGGUGAGGUAAUGGCUCACCAAGGCUACGACGGGUAGCUGGUCUGAGAGGACGAUCAGCAACACUGGAACUGAGACACGGUCCAGACACCUACGGGUGGCAGCAGUCGAGAAUCAUUCACAAUGGGGGCAACCCUGAUGGUGCAACGCCGCGUGGAGGAUGAAGGCCCUAGGGUCGUAAACUCCUGUCAUAUGAGAGUAAGGCAUAUGUGUUAAUACCAUGUAUGUUUGAUAGUAUCAUAAGAGGAAGGGACGGCUAACUUCGUGCCAGCAGCCGCGGUAAUACGAAGGUCCCGAGCGUUAUUCGGAAUCACUGGGCGUAAAGAGUACGUAGGCGGUUUGGUAAGUCAGGUGUGAAAUCCCGGAGCUCAACUCCGGAACUGCAUCCGAUACUGCUAGACUUGAGUAAUGGAGGGGCAGGUGGAAUUCUCGGUGUAGCAGUGAAAUGCGUGGAUAUCGAGAGGAAGACCAAUGGCGAAGGCAGCCUGCUGGACAUUUACUGACGCUGAGGUACGAAGGCCAGGGUAGCGAAAGGGAUUAGAUACCCCUGUAGUCCUGGCAGUAAACGGUGCGCGCUUGGUGUAGGAGGACUCGACCCCUUCUGUGCCGGAGCUAACGCGUUAAGCGNGCCGCCUGGGGAGUACGGUCGCAAGACUAAAACUCAAAGAAAUUGACGGGGGCCCGCACAGCGGUGGAGCAUGUGGCUUAAUUCGAUGCACGCGAAGAANCUUAC
rnacentral:rRNA from 1 species